CAGGAUCAGUGAUGACCUCCACCAUGGGCUGGUCCCCUCUCCUCCUCACCCUCCUCGCUCACUGCACAGGUUCCUGGGCCCAGUCUGUGCUGACUCAGCCGGCCUCAGUGUCUGGGUCCCUGGGCCAGAGGGUCACCAUCUCCUGCACUGGAAGUAGCUCCAACAUCGGUGGAAAUUAUGUGGGCUGGCUCCAGCAGCUCCCAGGAACACACCCCAGAACCGUCAUCUAUGGUAAUAGUAGCCGACCCUCAGGGGUCCCCGAUCGAUUCUCUGGCUCCAAGUCAGGCAGCACAGCCACCCUGACCAUCUCUGGGCUUCAGGCUGAGGACGAGGCUGAGUAUUACUGCUCAUCAUGGGAUGAUAGUCUCAGAGGUCACACGGUGCUCCAGGCCUGUGGGGAAGUGAGACAAAAACCUACCUACCCAUCUGCAAAGCCGCAGUCUGAUAGAAAGUCUUGUGACCCAUCCCAGGGCUACAGCACCUGUGAGCUCAAGGACAUCAUUCCCCUCAACACCAACUCUCCUCCAAUCAUGUGUGGGAUGUUUGACAGACUCUUCUGA